GUCAAGAACAGGCCACGCCCCUCCCCUAGAUCCCACCUAUCAUGCCCAGUCCUUCCAGGACAGUCUCACCCUUUCCAACCAAUCGGGUUCCUCCUUCCCAUCCCAGUCCCCAAACUCCCUUCUUGACUGAGCUCCAUCAUCUGGUCCCUUCUGGUUGUCUGCCUCACCUUUCCCCUCCAGGGCUCAGUUCCAGCUGACUCCAGAUCAGGUGCCUCCCUUCACCUCAAGUACCGCUCCUUUUCUCUUGAUCUCGCCCCCUCAGUCCUGGUCUUGCCCUUUACAGACAAGGCGCCAUCCCUUCUGGCUCAAAACACUUCACCCCAACGUGACAAUCUUAAACCCUUCAGACCAGCUGCCUCCCUCCAUUCCGGGCCCCGCCUCUCCGUGGUUCAGCCCCACCCACUUUGGUGCAGGCCCCACCCCUCCAGGCCGCGGCCCAGCCUUCCAUUCCAACGGUCUCCGAAAGUCUCCAGGUCUUCCGGAUCUCAGGGGUACCUGGCCUCAUUGGGCUUCUGGACAAUUUGCUGACAGAUCGAGCCUCCUGCAUCAUGGUAUCUUAAAUCCUUGGGUCGCUGCAUACUGCGGGACAGAAAGCUAGCCCACCUAGGGUGGAGCCUUCCAACCUCGGUGAAGUCUAUUGUCCUGCCACGUCUGCAGCUUCCUACAAGGAGCCACCACCUGCUGAGCCUGUCUGCCUGACAAGUUCCGGUCAACCAACAAGACACUGAUAAGUCCCAUCUUUCCAUUCAGGAACCCAAGUAACCCGUGGCCGCUGAUGGCUACACUGAAGCUCACCAAUUACCAAUUGGCUGUCCAGUGAGCUCCCAUGGACCCUCCUAAUCCUGGAUUAAAAGUAUACUACCUCCUAAUCUUCUGUCUCCCUAAUCCUGGUAUUAAAAGUGUACUACCACACCCAGCUCUUAAUAAACUUCUUAAAAACUA